UACGGAGGAUGCAAGCGUUGUCCGGUUUUAUUGGGUUUAAAGGGUGCGUAGGCGGCCUAUUAAGUUAGUGGUGAAAACGUUCGGCUUAACCGGCUACCCGCCAUUGAUACUGAUAGGCUUGAGUGCGACAGAGGGUGUUGGAAUGUGUGGUGUAGCGGUGAAAUGCUUAGAUAUCACGCAGAACACCAAUUGCGAAGGCAGAUGCCUAUGUCGUAACUGACGCUGAGGCACGAAAGCGUGGGGAGCAAACAGG
rnacentral:rRNA from 1 species